AUUGAACGCUGGCGGCAGGCCUAACACAUGCAAGUCGAGCGAGCGGCGGACGGGUGAGUAAUGCCUGGGAAUUGCCCAGUCGAGGGGGAUAACCGUUGGAAACGACUGCUAAUACCGCAUACGAUUGGAUUGCCCAGGUGGGAUUAGCUAGUUGGUGAGGAAAUGGCCCACAAAGGCGACGAUCCCUAGCUGGUCUGAGAGGAUGAUCAGCCACACGGGAACGGAGACACGGUCCAGACGCCUACGGGAGGCAGCAGUGGGGAAUAUUGCACAAUGGGGGAAAGCCUGAUGAAGCCAUGCCGCGUGUGUGAAGAAGGCCUUCGGGUUGUAAAGGACUUUCAGCGAGGAGGCGUUACUCGCAGAAGAAGCACCGGCUAACUCCGUGCCAGCAGCCGCGGUAAUUC
rnacentral:rRNA from 1 species